AUUACUGUGUCUCGGUAAUGGCUGUUCUGAGUCUAUAUUCUUAGGCACACAUUAUAUUCUUUCAACGUACAGUUUUUCUUUUAAUUGCCAAAAAGUUUUCUUGAGUUGUAGUUUUUAGUAAACAUUCAGUUCACUUGCUCUAUUUUUUUCUUCAUUGACUUCUAUUCUAUUAUCUGAAUGUUGGAUCUUCUCUGCCUAUCCUUAAUAUGUCACUUCUCACAAAUUGUUUAAAAAUUUUUUGCCAUUUACUUCAAAUUUUAAAGUUUUCU